rnacentral:rRNA from 1 species
ACGGUAUGUGGCAACACAUAGAGUGGCGAACGGGUGAGUAACACGUGGGAACGUACCCUACGCAGGGGGAUAACUGACCGAAAGGACAGCUAAUACCGCAUAAGACCGAAAGGUGAAAGGUGCAACUGCACCGGCGAAGGAGCGGCCCGCGGACCAUCAGCUAGUUGGUGGGGUAAGAGCCUACCAAGGCAACGACGGAUAGCCGGCGUGAGAGCGUGGCCGGCCACAAGGACACUGAGAUACGGGUCCUACUCCUACGGGAGGCAGCAGUGCGGAAUUUUAGAUAAUGGAGGCAACUCUGAUCUAGCGACGCCGCGUGCAGGAAGAAGGUCUUCGGAUUGUAAACUGCUGUGGUAAGGGAAAAAUGCCAUGUAGAGUGGAAAGCUACAUGGAGGGAUGGUACUUUACUAGAAAGCCCCGGCUAACUACGUGCCAGCA